rnacentral:rRNA from 1 species
UGGGGAAUUUUGGACAAUGGGGGAAACCCUGAUCCAGCCAUCCCGCGUGUGCGAUGAAGGCCUUCGGGUUGUAAAGCACUUUUGGCAGGAAAGAAACGUCGCGGGUUAAUACCCCGCGAAACUGACGGUACCUGCAGAAUAAGCACCGGCUAACUACGUGCCAGCAGCCGCGGUAAUACGUAGGGUGCAAGCGUUAAUCGGAAUUACUGGGCGUAAAGCGUGCGCAGGCGGUUCGGAAGGAAAGAUGUGAAAUCCCAGAGCUUAACUUUGGAACUGCAUUUUUAACUACCGGGCUAGAGUGUGUCAGAGGGAGGUGGAAUUCCGCGUGUAGCAGUGAAAUGCGNAGAUAUGCGGAGGAACACCGAUGGCGAAGGCAGCCUCCUGGG